GAUGAACGCUGGCGGCGUGCUUAACACAUGCAAGUCGAACGGAAAGGCUCCUGCUUGCAGGGGUACUCGAGUGGCGAACGGGUGAGUAACACGUGGGUGAUCUGCCCUGCACUUCGGGAUAAGCCUGGGAAACUGGGUCUAAUACCGGAUAGGACCACAUUUUGGAUGGUGUGGUGGAAAGUUUUUCGGUGUGGGAUGGGCUCGCGGCCUAUCAGCUUGUUGGUGGGGUAAUGGCCUACCAAGGCGUCGACGGGUAGCCGGCCUGAGAGGGUGUACGGCCACACUGGGACUGAGAUGCGACCCAGACCCCUACGGGAGGCAGCAGUGGAGAAGAUUGCACAAGAGGCUGAAGCCUGAUGCAGCGACGCCGCGUGGGGUAUGACGGCCUGCGGUUUGUAUUCUCAUUCCGUUUGGGACGAGGCGCAAGUGACGGUACCUGGAGAAGAAGCACCGGCUAACUACGUG
rnacentral:rRNA from 1 species